AUGGACCUACAACAUUCCCCCCUGCCCAACAACCCCCUGCAGGUGAAGGAGCACAUGUGUGAAUGACAUUUUGACAGUGUUUUUGAGCACUAUAAUUCUCUCUGAUAGGAAAUGUUUGGGAUGCCAGGAUGAAUAUACCCCUUUUUCCACAGCAGGACUCUGCUCGCCUGGCCUCGUGCAAUGUCCACUUCCAAACCUGCAACAGCUGGAGGGGGAGAGAGGGAGGAGAGGUGCUCUGCACGCACACAGAAACAAAUAGGCCCCCCCAUAAGUGCAAAUACUCCAAUUAAGCCCAUCUGAGACAAAUCCAUGGACCUGGGCUACGGACCAGGACAGAAUCAGGACCAAAUAACUGCAGAAUGGAUGGACCUCUGGCCUGUUGUUGCCUUGGUGAAAAUAUAGGGGAGAAAUAACAAUACAGUAUUACACCGUAAAGCUAAAUGAAAUUACAGAGAAAUGCUCGCUAUAUUUUAUCUAACCAUUUGGAAAGGAAACCCUCGUUCUAUUUUAAAUACCAGCUCCAUGAGUAAAAUUGUUGCUUUUGAGAGGCAAAGCAGAGAUUAAAUCAAAAUAAGACAGGAAUGUCUGGUGAAAUGAGAACCCCGAAGGUUUGGAGAUAAUAUACACAUUGGCCUCCAUCCAUCUACCUUAAAAGGUGAAGUCACUAGGUCACCCGUAGUGCAGUAAUAUGCUGACAGGCAGUUCAUCUCAGAUGGGGAUGUUUUGGUGUGGAGAUGUCCAUCUCUAAUGGUGGACUCUAUCUGCAAUUCUCCAUCUGUUGUUUGGGUUUGAAUAGUGGUUGUUGAGGAGAGACAGGCGCCCCGGACUGAUGCUGAUCCGCGUCUUCGUGCCACAGCCAGACAGAACCCCUCUGCUCCCCUCUCUCCAGUCCGUCACCCUCUCCCUCUCCUGACAUGUUCCAUGCUGUUAUGGGAAACCCUGCCAAGUGCCCCCUGGACCAAACACAGUCCUAGAGAGACAGUCUGUAUAAGUCCACACGAAGUCACUCCGCAGCACUUGGCUGGAAAUAAAAAUCCUCUGGUCCAGAGUACACACUCA